UAAUACAGAGGUGGCAAGCGUUGUUCGGAAUUACUGGGCGUAAAGGGCGCGUAGGCGGCCUUCUAAGUCGGACGUGAAAGCCCCAGGCUUAACCUGGGAACUGCGUCCGAUACUGGGAGGCUUGGAUUCGGGAGAGGGAUGUGGAAUUCCAGGUGUAGCGGUGAAAUGCGUAGAUAUCUGGAGGAACACCGGUGGCGAAGGCGGCAUCCUGGACCGAGAUCGACGCUGAGGCGCGAAAGCUAGGGGAGCAAACGGGAUUAGAUACCCCGGUAGUCCUAGCCCUAAACGAUGAGUGCUUGGUGUGGCGGGUAUCGAUCCCUGCCGUGCCGAAGCUAACGCAUUAAGCACUCCGCCUGGGGAGUACGGUCGCAAGGCUG
rnacentral:rRNA from 1 species